CACGUAGGGUGCGAGCGUUGUCCGGAAUUAUUGGGCGUAAAGAGCUCGUAGGCGGUGUGUCGCGUCGGCCGUGAAAACCUGCAGCUUAACUGUGGGCUUGCGGUCGAUGCGGGCAUCACUGGAGUUCGGCAGGGGAGACUGGAAUUCCCGGUGUAGAGGUGAAAUUCGUAGAUAUCGUAAGGAAGACCAGUGGCGAAGGCGGGUCUCUGGACAGUUCCUGACGCUGAGGCACGAAGGUCAGGGGAGCAACGGG
rnacentral:rRNA from 1 species